rnacentral:rRNA from 1 species
UUGGAGGGCAAGUCUGGUGCCAGCGGCCGCGGUAAUUCCAGCUCCAAUAGCGUAUAUUAAAGUUGUUGCAGUUAAAAAGCUCGUAGUUGAACUUCGGGGUCUACCCAUUGGUCAGGCUUAAUUGUCUGUACUGGUGAGAUGGAUCUCUACCUUCUGAGGAACUUUCAUGCCAUUUAUUUGGUGUGAUGGGAAAUCAGGACUGUUACUUUGAAAAAAUUAGAGUGUUUAAAGCAGACUAUCGUCUGAAUACAUUAGCAUGGAAUAAUGGAAUAGGACGGACUGAUUCUAUUUCGUUGGUUUCUAGGAUCACCGUAAUGAUUAAUAGGGAUAGUUGGGGGCAUUAGUAUUCAAUUGUCAGAGGUGAAAUUCUUGGAUUUAUUGAAGACUAACUACUGCGAAAGCAUUUGCCAAGGAUGUUUUCAUUAAUCAAGAACGAAAGUUAGGGGAUCGAAGACGAUCAGAUACCGUCGUAGUCUUAACCAUAAACUAUGCCGACUAGGGAUCGGACGAAGUUAAUUCUAUAAUGACGCGUUCGGCACCUUACGGGAAACCAAAGUGUUUGGGUUC